rnacentral:lncRNA from 1 species
GGACCCGGUACCGUCUCGCGAUAUCCGCUUUCCUGAACCCGGUGACACGGACAGAGACCUCGUGCUCCCCUCUGUCGUAGUUCACGUACACGGAUUUCUUCUCCCGGAGUGCGUCGGAGGUCUUCGCUGCAGCUCGAGGACGAUAGGCGCGGGAAGAUUCCGGCGGACUGACGAGGUGAGUAACGGUUGCCAUUGGAGGAGACGCGGGGAAGGGAGGUUCACCGGUGGAUAGAGUGAUCGCAUCAUUUACUCGAGGCUAUAUAUUACAGCCCAGUUCCGAUAUUUUCCGGCCCGUUUAAUAAUAUAUUAAAGUCAAGUUAUGAUUUUUCGGCCCAUUUUGUAGUUAUAUUUUCCGUAUUAUCAGAAGUUAAACACCAUGGAAAGAUGACCAAUAAAAGAUUAAUAAAUAAUAAUAAGAUUUUUAACGUUAAAACUCUUUUUUGUUUUGAGUAAAAACCCAUGAACUAUGUAUUUAACGGAAAACCUCUCAAACUAACUUUAUUUAGUGAAUUAAACCCUAACAUGUCAUAGUUACCAUUACUACCGGUAAAUCUUUAGUUUAUGAGUUUCUACGUUAAGUAAGCGUAAUUGAAUGGUUUUACCAUUAAAAAUCCAAAAAAUCAAAAAAUUCAAAAUUUUAUACUAUUAUCUUAAAAUUAGUAACUUAAAAUUUUAAAAUUAGCACUUUUUUGUUAUAAAUAUAUGAGUUUGAUAUGUUUUUAACAUCAACAUCAUAUAUGUAUAAAUUAAAAUGUAAAAAUCCAGAAAAUAUAAUAAAAAAUUAUCUAAAGAUUUACCUGUAAUAAAAUUACUAAAAGGUUAAAAAUAUAAAAAACAAGAAAAUAUACUAAAAAUUAUAUCUUAUCUAAUAAAAAUGUAAUAAAGAUUUACCUGUAAUAAAAUUACUAAAAGGUUAAAAGUGUAAAAGACAAAAAAAAAAUAAUAGAAAUUAUAUCUUAUCUAAUAAAAAUGUAAUAAUAAAUCUUUAGAUAAUUUUUUGUUAUAUUUUAUGGAUUUUUUCAUUUUUAAUUUAUACAUAUAUAAUAUUGAUGUUAAAAACACAUCAAACUCAUAUAUUUACAAAAAAAAUAAAAGUGUUAAUUUUAAAAUUUAAGUUACUAAUUUUUAGAUAAUAUUAUAAAAUUUUGAUUUGGUAGUUAACCAGUCAUAAGCAUCCCGCAAACACACCAAUUUCUAACCGCAUAACCAGUCGUACAGAUUUCUUAAAACCGCUAGAAACCGCAACUACCCGCAUCCGCAAACAACCGCAACCGCUACGUUUGAACCAGUCCGACCCUUAAUGUAGAAACCCCUAAACUAAAGAUUUACCGAUAGUAAUGGUAAUUAUGACCUGGUAGGGUUUAAUCAUUAAAUAAAGUUAGUUUGAGGUUUUUUCGUUAAAUACUUAGUUUGAGGGGGUUUUUAUCCAAAACAAACUUAGUCAAAGAGUUUUAACGUUAAAAAUUCAUAAUAUUAUAAGCUAACUAGGGGGGAACCAACGUUUUAAGGUUAGGGUUUAUAGAUUUUAGUUUUCAGGGUUUGUGGUUUAACUUUAUUAAGGAGUUAGAGUUUAUUUAAUUUACUAGUCUAGAAUAUUUUGUUUGUUAUGAAAUAUAUAGUACUAGGGUCGGUUCGCGCUACGCGCGGGAUAUGACUUUAUCGUACUUAAAUUCUUAUAAUUCCCUAAGAUUUUAAUGUUUGUGUUUAAGAAAGUGAUGUGUAUAUACUAAGGCCUUGAUUGGUAGAGCAAAAGAUAAAGCAGUAGCAGUAUGCUAUAGAAGCAGUAUGCUGCAAAAACUAUAUGUUUUUGUUAAACUAUUUAAUAGAAUGAUUGGUAGAGUAGUAUGAAUAUGCUAAUUAAAAUUGUUAUAAGAAUUAGUAUUUAUUCUAAAAGCUUUAUAUGAGAGUAUUAGCCAGAGAGCAUUUGGAGAACAUUAGUGUUUGGUAAAUGUUUUUCUAAAUGCUAUUGUUUGUUUGGUUUCUAGAUUUUGGAUUUUGGAUUUUGGUUUUUGCUUUUAAAAUAAUAAAACGAAAAUAUUCUAUGUAAAUGAUUUUUGCUUUUAAAAUAAUAAAACGAAAAUAUUCUUAAAGUGAAAUAUUUAUUCUGGAAAUAAUAAAAUAUAAAAAUUAAAAACAGCAAAAACAAAAUAAUAUAAUUCUAUGUUUAAACAUACACUUAAAAAUUUAAUUCUAUGUUUAAACAUAAAUUUAUAUAUGUUAUAUAUGUACAUCUAUACUUUAUUUUAUCAUUUUUUUUUACUCAUUCAUAAUAUAGUAAUAUUUUUAGUAAAAAAAAAAAGAAGAACUGAAAAUCCAUUGGACAAGUUUUGAAGAAAACCAUUGAAAACCAUGAUUUUCUUUUUUUUGUUUAGGAAUAGAUAUUUGUUUUUAUUUAAAUAGUUUCUCUGUAUUUUUAAUUGGUGAUUUCUGUAGAUAUUACUUUAUGAAUGUACAACUAUUUUAACAAAAAAAAAGUAACAACAGUUUGCAAAGAAAAACCAAGAAAAUAUAGAUUUUAGUUUUGUGUAGAAAGAGUUAGUUUUCUCAAAAUCUGGUUUUCCUGAAUUUUAGGGAAUCUAUUUAGAAAAAUCUUGAUUGAUACAAAAAUAGUUUUUAGAGAAUCAAAAACCAAAAACCAUUUUAAAAAGGGAGAAUUGCCAAGUGUGACUCAAAACUUGGAGUCAAACCCAAAACAAUACCCCAACUUGGGUCAAAGGCAAAAGUAACCUAAAAGGCUAUUGAAAUUACAACUAUCCCCUUGUGACCAAACAAAAAAACGGAAUUCUUUUUACGUUUCUACCCCUCGCAAGUCGUCUGUUUAGACGACUUGAAAAUAAGUCGUCCAGACGACUUAACUUAAAGUCGUCUGGACAGUUAGUCUUAAACAUAAUUUAAAAAUUUUGUAAAAAAUAUUUUGAUAAGUGAAAAAUGGGAAUUAUGUAAUUAACAUAUGUCUUAGGAGGUAUAAAUUAAGAUAUAACAAAUUUCAAUUGUUUUCAGCAUAGAUGAGUGAAAGUAGUGAGUCAUGAUAUUCUUAAGUUUAUGUUUCAUCAACAUAUGUUGUAGUAUUGUAUGUGUUCUUAGGGUUAGAUUUUGGAAAGCAUUAAAACCGUUUUUGAAAAUUUUUAAAAUUACUUAUGCGUGUUCAUUUCUGUGUAUAGUAAACACUAUUUAAGUAUAAUUUGAUUUUAUAACGUGGUUAGUUAGUUAAUCUAGUCAUUUUAGUUUAGGGGUUCAUUUUAGGGUCUAGGACGACUUAAUAUUUUGUCGUCUGAAAACAGACGACUAAAUAUUAAGUCGUCUGUUGUACAUUAUCAGCCAGAAUAAGUCGUCUAAACCGGACCAAACCUUAAAGUUUACCAAUGUAAUUUUAAAGCUAACCGGCCUCGCACAGUAGUUCUUCUGAUUCUUCAUCCAGUUGAAAACAUUCACACAAAGAUCGAUGCAUCCUCUUCUACCGAGCUCCUGCAAGUUUCAAAAAUCAAACUCCUAACUAAAUUAAUUUCAAAACUUCAUCAACCAUUAAAUUCAAAAAAAGAGUUUCAGUUAAAUUCUAGUUUAUCAUAAAGGUUCCAACUUAAAACCAAUUAACUAUAAGUUCACUAAUUUUUUUUUUUUUUUUUUUGAGCAUCGGCUUCAAGAGAACAUACACCGAUAAGAAUUGGAAAAUUCUUUCUAGCGAACCGGCCAACCCAGGAAUUGAGAACGCCAUCGACUUCUUCCCAACGAUUGAGAGCAAUCAGCCGAUCCGCAACCUCCGAGACACUCCAAUCCUUCUGAAACCGGUCGUUCUCAACCCGGACCCGGUACCGUCUCGCGAUAUCCGCUUUCCUGAACCCGGUGACACGGACAGAGACCUCGUGCUCCCCUCUGUCGUAGUUCACGUACACGGAUUUCUUCUCCCGGAGUGCGUCGGAGGUCUUCGCUGCAGCUCGAGGACGAUAGGCGCGGGAAGAUUCCGGCGGACUGACGAGGUGAGUAACGGUUGCCAUUGGAGGAGACGCGGGGAAGGGAGGUUCACCGGUGGAU